GCCCAAAGCUACCCUGACAUUAAAGCCAAGCUUAAGAAGUUUGAACAGGGCCCUGCUACUCCUCAGACCGAAAUCCCCAGGGUCGCUUUCAAGGCGUUCCAUAGUAGAGAGGAUGAAAGCGAACGUUGUAGGCAGAGGGCUGAAAAUGCCGAAUUCCAAAUGUUGGCCCAGGUCAUUCAGAGAAGGUCAUCACGCCGUCCCAAUAAGACACCCCCUGGAGCUUGCUUCAAAUGUGGUAAGGAGGGACAUUGGGCCAGGGAUUGUCCUUCGCCAAGGAUACCUUCCACCCCCUGCCCAAAAUGCCACAAAAGGGGACACUGGGGGGUAGACUGCCCAAUAACCUGGAGGGGAGGUUGGUCAGCCGCCCCACAACCCCAGCCUCUUCUGGGCUUGGCAAAGGAGGAUUGACUGAGCCCUGGGCCUUCCCUCCCGACUAUUACCGUCAAGAAGCAAGAGCCUAGGGUCACAUUUCUAGUGGAUGGACGCUUCAUUACCUUCCUCUUAGAUACUGGUGCCACAUUUUCGGUCUUGAGGGAAUAUUGGGGUCCUACCACACCCUCAAAAACUCCUAUUGUCAGGGUAGGAGGUAAACAGAUUUUCCCUUGAAAAACACCCCCCUUAUCAUGUUAUAUGCAGGGAUCCCUUUGUCCUUCACACACUCCUUUCUCAUUAUGAGCCAUUGCCCCAUUCCCCUUCUGGGAAGGGACAUACUCUCAUUAUUGAAGGUCACCAUCCACAUAUCACCCUCCAUCUCCCCCGCCUCUCAUUUCCACAUGAUGAUCCUAGGGACAGAUACACCUCCAUCAUACACUCUCCCACAGUUAAUCCUGAGGUUUGGGACACAACCACACCCUCUAUGGCUAAAUGCAGUCCUAUUCAUAUUGUCUUACGGGACCCUUCAAGAUAUAUUAGUCAACCACAAUAUCCACUCACAACCACAGCCCUCCUCGGAUUAGAACCCAUCAUCCAGGAUUUAUUACGGAAGGGGUAUCUUAGGCCUACACACUCUCCUUUCAACACCCCCAUUCUGGCAGUUAAGAAACCUAACGGGUCCUACAGGGUGGUUCAAGACCUUCGCCUCGUCAACUCCUCUGUGGUCCCCAUCCACCCGCUAGUGCCCAACCCCUACACCCUCCUCUCUCAAAUCCCUGCUACUACCACCCACUUCUUGGUCCUAGAUUUAAAAGAUGCCUUCUUUUCUAUUCCCUUGUCCUCAGAAUCUCAGGAUAUCUUUGCUUUUACGUGGACUGACCCUCACACCCACCAUUCUCGUCAGCUUACCCGGACUGUCCUCCCACAGGGAUUCAGGGAUAGCCCCCAUCUCUUUGGCCAGGUUCUUGCCCAGGACCUCACAUCCUUUCACCCUACUUGCCCUGACUCUACUCUCCUUCAAUAUGUCAAUGACCUUCUUCUAUGUAGUCCCUCUUGUGAACACUCUUAAUCCCACACCGCCCAGCUUCUCAAUUUCCUAGCAGAUAAGGGAUAUAGGGUGUCUCCCCACAAGGCCCAGGUUUCCCAGUCUUCUGUCACCUACCUUGGUUUUCGUUUUACACCAGGCAAAAAAGGAAAUACCACUGGAUAGGAGGCAACUCCUCUCUAAUCUUCUGGUGCCUCAUACGAAAGCCAAAAUACUAUCAUUCCUAGGACUAGCAGGUUAUUUUAGGGUCUGGAUCCCAAAUUACUCUCUUCUAGCCAAACCCCUGUAUGACCCAGUAAAGGGACCCCCUGGUGAAUCUCUUGCCUCCUCCCCCCGCUACCACUUUCACAGACUUCAGCAAUUUCUCUUAAAGGCACCCGCCCUUCACCUUUCUGAUCUUUCAAGACCAUUUCAUCUAUAUGUCCAUGAAAAAGGGGGGCAAGCACUUGGGGUCUUGGGUCAAAAUUAUGGGCCUACAUUUGCACCUGUGGCAUAUUUGUCCAAACAAUUAGACCCUACCAUCUGUGGGUGGGCCCCUUGCUUAAGAGCUCUGGCUGCUGGACAAAUUUUACACAAACAAGCCUCUAAGCUGUCUUUCGGGGCCCCUUUAACUAUCCACUCCCCACAUCACUUGAAGGAUCUUUUAGCUUAUAGGGGCCUUCAAACCCUUCCUCCAUCCAGAGUCCUGUCGCUCCUAACUUCCUUUCCGGAAAACCCUAAUAUUACGUUCCUCCCCUGCUCUGCUUUGAACACUGCCUCACUGCUCCCAACGACCCCCACAUCUGACACACCAGCUCAUAAUUGCUUGGAAACCUUUGAUGAUUUCCUCCCCUGUCAUUCUUCCAUUUCUGAGGGACCACUCACCAAUCCUGACCUUAUCUGGUUCACUGACUGCAGUUCCUUUAGGCAGAAUGGCACUCAUUAUUCUGGAUAUGCCGUAGUUUCGGCCACUGAGAUUAUAGAGGCCAAAGCUCUGCCUUCAGGAACUACCAACCAGCAGGCCAAACUUGUAGCAGCCACUCGUGCCUGCCUCCUAGCACGGAGCAAAUCCCUCACCCUUUAUACUGACUCAAAAUAUGUGUUCCAUAUUCUAUUAUCCCAUGCUGCAGUAUGGCGAGGCCUACUUACCACUAAAGGUAAAGGUAAUGCGAUCACUAAUUCGGCUCUUAUAACCAAUUUGAUAGAGGCCUCACACUUACCCACCCAGUUGGGAGUUGUCCAUUGUAGGUCCCAUCAGAAGGACGGCUCUCUUAUCACUGAGGGCAACGCCAAAUCUGACCAGGCUGCACAAAUAGCUGCUACCACUUCCAAUUAUGACCCCCCUGGGGGAUCUAUAAUGGCCGCUUUAAACUGUCCAUCUGAAGCCCCUACUUCUUCCAGUAAGAACAAGGAUCUUUUUGAGUUCCUCCAUACUCUAUUCCAUUCCAAUUCUCAGUCUUUGACCCUCUUUUUACAGAGCUUCUUCUCCCUCACCCCCUCUGACAAAGCCAUGCUACAGAAUAUAGCCUCUAAUUGUCAGAUCUAUCAGCAGACCAACUCUCAUACUCCUUUAAGGCCUAAACUGUUUCCCUCCCACCAAGCCCGGGGACAUAUUCCUGCUGCUGACUGGCAGGUAGACUUCACCAAUAUGCCUGCAGCACGGCACACUAAAUACCUCCUUGUCUUUGUGGACACUUUCUCUGGUUGGGUUGAGGCAUUUCCCACUUCUAAUAAAAAGGCUUCCACUGUAGCUUCAAUCUUACUGACAGACAUCAUCCCCAGGUUUGGUAUGACCACUUCCCUACAAUCUGACAAUGGUCCUGAGUUUAUUUCUAGGAUCACACAAAAGGUCUCUCAAGCCCUCUCCUUCAAGUGGCAUUUCCACUGUCCAUAUCGCCCCCUGGCUUCAGGGAAAGUGGAAAGGGUAAAUCGUACUCUAAAGGAAGUCCUUACCAAAUUAACAAUGGAAUUAAACUUAGACUGGGUCAAACUUCUUCCCUUUGCUUUGCUUCAGAUCAGAGCUCUCCCUAAGAAACCAUCUUUACUGUCUCCCUUUGAGAUAAUGUAUGGAAGACCUCUUAUACCCCCUGGGUUGGUCAUUUCACAAGGACCUCUCACACGAAAUUUGUCUUUACCUCUCUUGUUUCAUCUCCGCUCGGAACUCUGGAAAUAUCAAGACUGGCUUCUUCCGGACCCAGACUCCUCUCCAAACACCCCUCCCUUAACACCUGGGAGUUUAGUCUAUUAUAACACCCCAGAGGAUAAAGGGCCUCUUGCCCCAAAAUGGGAAGGCCCCUAUCCUAUCAUUCUCUGUACCCCCACCGCCGCCAAACUUUCCUUACCAGGCAACAGUCGCACCCACUGGAUUCACAUUUCUAGGUUGAAGCCAUAUUACCAGGAGGCCCCAUCUGCUGACGACAAGACUACCCCAGAGGAACCUCAAGAGUCACCUCCUAGACCUCCCCUUUACUCCUGCUCUCCACAUCCUAACUAUCCUCUAAAGCUUUGCCUGUCUCACGUAACUGCUCAUACUCUACCAUGACUCCCACUCUUCUAAUUGGUAUUUUCACAGUCAUCACCCUUCUCCCGGGGACAUCAUCGUCCUCCUCUUAUACUUGGAGAUUCAAAGUCAGACAUAUGUCCAAGGCAGCACUUGUUACACUCGCCUAGUUUCUUUGGUUGAUUGCGCCCCUAUGGGAUGUAAUGCAUCUAUCUUCCUUCCCCUCUCCUCCCAGAAUUCUGAACUUUUAAAAACAGCCAUUAGGCCUUACCUUUGCUUCUUAUAUGAUCAGACAGAGGAUUACUGCAAAUGGUGCCCCUACUGGUCAUGCAGUAUUCAUAACCCAUGUGCAUGCAUCGGGGAUUUCUGUGUUGGAAAUUUCAGAUUGAUCUCGGGGGGCUAUCAAUUGAUUAUCACUGACCCUAACCAUCCACGCUGGACCUCUAGGGUAAAUGCUUCCUUCUUCUGUGACAUAUCCUCUUCCACCCCCUGUGGCUCCAUCUCCAUCUCCGGAGAGCUUCAACCCUCCCAGCCCUCAGUAGCUAUAAUCUCUACUGACAUAAAGCAUUCUGAACAGCAGUUGUUAGACUCCAUACAGGAUCCAUAUGAGCCUAAUGUCGGGAGUUCACCACAGUAUUCAGGGCUACGACUACUUACUGAAACUGUAACCUUCUUCAAUCUAACCCUCCCCGCCAUUACACCAACUGAUUUCUACUUAUGCACCUCUCUGACUCGACCUUUGCUUGCAGCGGUUCCCUUGAACUUCUCGGCUUCUGACCUCUCAAAUUUCUCCACUCCAUCUGCUCGCCGUUCUCUCCGAACCCUUUCACCCGACGCUCCAUUAUGGGAGCCUGAGGAGUCUAACCAUACUGUGAUUCCCAUUCUCUGCCUCCUGGGCUUGGGUGUCUCCCAGUUAGAGUUUUGCCACUCUAACAUCACCUUUAACUUCACCCUCUAUGCACCACUUGGCUCAUUCUUCUGGUGUAAUGGUUCUCUCAUCACUAUCUUAUUCACCAACACCUCUACCCCAUGUGUACUGGUGACGCUUGUCCCGCAAUUGACUCUCUAUACCCCAGCUGAAGUGCAGGCCCUCCUGUCUCCCCCAGUGUGGAAUAAGCGGGCUGCUUUCCUUCCAAUACUGGUGGGUCUCUCACUGGCUGCAUCUGCAGCGGGAGCAGGAAUUUCUGGUGGAGCUCUAGGACACUCCUUAUGGGCUGUACAGGACUUAAGUUCUAAACUUGAACAAGCACUCACUUCUACGGCAGAAUCUCUAGCAUCUUCACAAAGGCAGGUCACAUCCUUGGCUCAAGUUACUCUUUAAAAUCGACGAGCUAUAGACUUACAGCCGAAAAAGGUGGAAGUGUCUCUUCUUGAGGGAAGAAUGCUGUUACUACAUCAAUGAAUCGGGCCUUGUGGAAACUAAUGUAGUCAAGCUCACAGACUUGGCUACCUCUUUGAAAAAUCCACCAAACCAAAACCCAUUUGCCACCUUCUUUUUAGCCCACUUCCAAUUGUGGCUGUUGCCUCUUUUAGGCCCAUAUGUCUCCUUUUCCUGAUGUGUCUGUUCCUGCCCUGUCUGCUUCGCUUCCUACAGGGCCAAUUACGGAAGAUCUCUAACCAAACUUUCAACCAGCUUCUGCUUAGGUACUACCAGCCUCUGAUGACCGAUGAACCCCCAACAUCUUCAAGAGAACAGCUCACUCAUUGCUGAAGCUCACUACCAGGUGCGAUGGAAUGCAACGGACAUCGGACAUUGGGAGACAAUAAGCCCGGAGAACCUCUUAGUCUGCCAUCCUGGAUUCUUGAGUCUUUAUGUCCUUUUAAGCCUCCUCAUGGCCCUUGGUCUCUUCUCUGUCAGUCCUCCAACAUGAAACUUCUGCCCCAAACUAACCUUUGCUUUAAUUUUUAUCUUCAUCCUGUUUUUGUUCGCUCUGAUCUUCUUCAGGUGCUGGUGACGCCAUGUCAAGGCAACGCUUCCAGUAUUUUCUAGAGUCUCUGCUACAAGACCAGUGGCUGACACCAACAAUCUCCUCCAUCCAGGACUGGUUCGAUGCCAUCGACGACUUGUGGUUUCAGGAAACUUUCAUAGACUUCACCCCUACGGAAGUAGCUGUCUAUAGCCACUGGGUUUUAUUUCUGGUUGCCAUGAUAUCCCCAGACCUGCCCCCCGAACAUUCCUCCACUUCCCCUUCUAGGCCCUAGGCCGCCCCCGCACAGCCAGAAAAAGCCAGAUCUGACCAACGACGCCCCAAUUCCUAAGAAAACAAAAAGGGAGGAAUGUUGGGAAAACAUAUAACGGAAGCAGCACCCCAGAGAAAAACCCCAACAUGGCGCCUAACGACCCUCUUUCUCCUCUUUUUUCUUUCACUGGCGCGAAACGUUCCCGCCGGCGCCAAUGUUCAAAUCCUGCGGGUGGGAAACCUUAGCCCCAAUAAGAAUUAACUUCUUGGGCUCCGGAACUGACAUAUGGAAGAGCUUGCUAAUAAACGGGUGACCCGUUAUCUACCUCAGCCCUGCCACUUCUUCUUAGGUCUAUAUAAACCCACAGCCUUUUGUAAUAAAGCAGAACCUCUCCAGUGAUUUGUGUCGUGUAGUAUCUUCCAUUCGUAGUGCAGUGCAUCUUACAAAGCCAGUUUGUGAGGACGCAGUGGGAAGGUGGCAGUCUGUGGCUCAGAAAAGCCCGGAGCCUGUGCCUGCUGCCCUCUGACCUGAGUUGCAGUCUCCAGGACUAGAAAUGAUCACG
rnacentral:lncRNA from 1 species